AAGGUCAGGCUGAAGACCUUACCCGAUUAGCUGAGAGGUGGUGCAUGGCCGUCGUCAGUUCGUACUGUGAAGCAUCCUGUUAAGUCAGGCAACGAGCGAGACCCACGUCCACAGUUGCCAGCAUACCCUCCGGGGUGAUGGGUACACUGUGGAGACCGCCGCUGCUAAAGCGGAGGAAGGAGUGGGCAACGGUAGGUCAGUAUGCCCCGAAUCUCCCGGGCUACACGCGGGCUACAAUGGUUGGUACAAUGGGCAUCUACCCCGAAAGGGGAAGGAAAUCUCUUAAAGCCAAUCGUAGUUCGGAUUGAGGGCUGCAACUCGCCCUCAUGAAGCUGGAAUCCGUAGUAAUCGCGUUUCAACAGGACGCGGUGAAUACGUCCCUGCUCCUU
rnacentral:rRNA from 1 species